UAAUAGCUUUCAUCGAAAGAAAAGUGAAAAGAGAAGAACAGAAUUUAAAUAGACUUCAACCUAUUCUGAAUCUUUGUUUUCCUUUCCUUCCUUCUUUCCUUGGAUCAGCAUUCUGUGAUUUGGUGCUUGAAUCCUUUGAUUAAAUUUC
rnacentral:misc_RNA from 1 species